AGUGAACGCUGGUGGUAGGCCUAACACAUGCAAGUCGAACGGCAGCACAGGAGAGCUUGCUCUCUGGGUGGCGAGUGGCGGACGGGUGAGGAAUACAUCGGAAUCUACUCUGUCGUGGGGGAUAACGUAGGGAAACUUACGCUAAUACCGCAUACGACCUACGGGUGAAAGCAGGGGAUCUUCGGACCUUGCGCGAUUGAAUGAGCCGAUGUCGGAUUAGCUAGUUGGCGGGGUAAAGGCCCACCAAGGCGACGAUCCGUAGCUGGUCUGAGAGGAUGAUCAGCCACACUGGAACUGAGACACGGUCCAGACUCCUACGGGAGGCAGCAGUGGGGAAUAUUGGACAAUGGGCGCAAGCCUGAUCCAGCCAUACCGCGUGGGUGAAGAAGGCCUUCGGGUUGUAAAGCCCUUUUGUUGGGAAAGAAAUCCAGCUGGCUAAUACCCGGUUGGGAUGACGGUACCCAGAGAAUAAGCACCGGCUAACUUCGUGCCAGCCGCCGCCGUAA
rnacentral:rRNA from 1 species